rnacentral:rRNA from 1 species
GAACUUACAGGUCUCGUUGGUGACCAGCGGAGGGAUCAUUACCGAGUUUACAACUCCCAAACCCCUGUGAACAUACCUAUACGUUGCCUCGGCGGAUCAGCCCGCGCCCUGUAAAAAGGGACGGCCCGCCCGAGGACCCUAAACUCUGUUUUUAGUGGAACUUCUGAGUAAAACAAACAAAUAAAUCAAAACUUUCAACAACGGAUCUCUUGGUUCUGGCAUCGAUGAAGAACGCAGCAAAAUGCGAUAAGUAAUGUGAAUUGCAGAAUUCAGUGAAUCAUCGAAUCUUUGAACGCACAUUGCGCCCGCCAGUAUUCUGGCGGGCAUGCCUGUUCGAGCGUCAUUUCAACCCUCAAGCUCAGCUUGGUGUUGGGACUCGCGGUAACCCGCGUUCCCCAAAUCGAUUGGCGGUCACGUCGAGCUUCCAUAGCGUAGUAAUCAUACACCUCGUUACUGGUAAUCGUCGCGGCCACGCCGUAAAACCCCAACUUCUGAAUGUUGACCUCGGAUCAGGUAGGAAUACCCGCUGAACUUAAGCAUAUCAAUAAGGCGGAGGAA